rnacentral:lncRNA from 1 species
GUAUGUGGUUGUGUAUGUAUGUAUGUGUAAAGACAUGUAUGAGUGUAUGCACGUAUGUAAAGUUGUAAGAAAGGUAUGUAUGUAUGUAGAGGAGUAUGUAUGCAUGUAAGAUGGUACGUGUGCAUGAUUUAAAUACGUAGAGUUUUAACGUUACUAAUUAUGCGUUUGAGGUUGGUAUGUAAUGCAGGAACGAGUACAUCGGAUUCUUACGAAAUUUAAGCCCAACCCGGAAUAAGAGGAUGAGUAAGGAUAGUUGGAUGGACUAAUGUUAAAUUGUCAAACGUUAUUCAAUCCUUAAUUAUAUGAGAUUAAUGUUAUAUGAUGUUGUCGUUGACUAAUGGCUAAGUUAUAUGUGAUGCCCACAGGUGAUACACGGACUUCUUCUGCUACUUAGGAAGUGAAGCGGACGUAGAUCGAGUCAAGAGCAAGGAUUGCACGGAUAGAUCGAUCAUAUAGUUGAAAUAUAUAACGUCUAGAAAUGUAAAUUUUAGUAUGAAUGUUGUGAAUUCUUUUAUAGAACGUUUAACAUUUUAGCUU